AUUAAUGGCCUCUGUGUACAUUCUUUUAAAUGUGCUCAUCCACAUAGGUUUAAAAAUUGUAUAUUUAGCACUUUUAAGUGAUUCAUUUGUCCUUCAGAAAAGAUAAAUUUCCAUACAAUCACAUAUUGAAUGCAUUUUUUAGGUUUAAUGUCUGAGAACUUUCGGUCAGCUCUAUGUAUGCAUGUGGCAGUUGAAUACCACUAUUUACCAGCAGGUUCUUUGCUGAUAUCCUUCAUUUUUCCUGAAAUAGGAGUGCCGUGUGACACCUAAAUAUUG